rnacentral:snoRNA from 1 species
AGGCAGCGAUGACUAGUUUAUAUACCAUCAAACUGUGAAAGCUUAUUCGAGCUUGUUGAUGCCAUCUAUAUUCUCUGAGCCU